rnacentral:rRNA from 1 species
AUUGAACGCUGGCGGCAGGCCUAACACAUGCAAGUCGAACGAGUGGCGGACGGGUGAGUAAUGUCUGGGAAACUGCCUGAUGGAGGGGGAUAACUACUGGAAACGGUAGCUAAUACCGCAUACCAUCGGAUGUGCCCAGAUGGGAUUAGCUAGUAGGUGGGGUAAAGGCUCACCUAGGCGACGAUCCCUAGCUGGUCUGAGAGGAUGACCAGCCACACUGGGAAUGAGACACGGCCCAGACUCCUACGGGAGGCAGCAGGGGGGAAUAUUGCGGAAUGGGCGCAAGCCUGAUGGAGCCAUGCCGCGUGUAUGAAGAAGGCUUGCGGGUUGUAAAGUACUUUUGGCGGGGAGGCGUUACCCGCAGAGGAAGCACCGGCUAACUACGUGCCAGCAGCCGCGGUAAUUC